AUUGAACGCUGGCGGCAGGCCUAACACAUGCAAGUCGAGCGGAUGAAGGGAGCUUGCUCCUGGAUUCAGCGGCGGACGGGUGGGUAAUGCCUAGGAAUCUGCCUGGUAGUGGGGGAUAACGUCCGGAAACGGGCGCUAAUACCGCAUACGUCCUGAGGGAGAAAGUGGGGGAUCUUCGGACCUCACGCUCUCAGAUGAGCCUAGGUCGGAUUAGCUAGUUGGUGGGGUAAAGGCCUACCAAGGCGACGCUCCGUAACUGGUCUGAGAGGAUGAUCAGUCACACUGGAACUGAGACACGGUCCAGACUCCUACGGGAGGCAGCAGUGGGGAAUAUUGGACAAUGGGCGAAAGCCUGAUCCAGCCGUGCCGCGUGUGUGAAGAAGGUCUUCGGAUUGUAAAACACUUUAAGUUGGGAGGAAGGGCAGUAAGUUAAUACCUUGCUGUUUUGACGUUACCAACAGAAUAAGCACCGGCUAACUUCGUG
rnacentral:rRNA from 1 species